GCAAACAGUCCUCCUUCAUGCCUGCACCAUCUGUAAUGAGCAAACACCAAUAGCAGACUGAGAUGAGCAACUAGCAAAGAGAGAGCAAAAGCUUUAGAAACAAAGAUGUCUUCAGGAACAAAUUUGAAGUUGACAGACCAGAAGUGGAUGAAAACCCGACCAAGAUUGAAAGCGUUUGAUAAAUAUGAAGCUGGAUAUGACAGGAUAAAAGGAAGCCCUAUGAGAAUCUGCACUAAUGCAGCCCCUGCUAAAGCAGAUAUAACUCCAACAAUAUCCAUUGCCUUCACCAUGAGGAGCAACAGAGGUGGUG
rnacentral:misc_RNA from 1 species